ensembl:lncRNA
CUCCGCAAAGUCCAUUAGUUCCUGAUAAUGGACACCUCGUCGAGCAUUAUCCCUUACUCGGUUAUUGAUUAUUCAUUAUCGCUUAUCGGUUAUUGAUAGUCGUUUAUUGAUUAUCUUGACACGUUUGAUGAACGAUACGUUGCUACAGUCGGAGAUUCCAGAAAUAUACUAACAGAAACCGGUUUUAUCCAGACGUCCGUAACAGUUUGUAUUUAAUAUUUCAUCAGACACACACUCACACACACACUAUAUACAACCAUAGUACCAUAUCAAACCCGACACACAGAUGUUAACAUCACAUCCACAUUUGCGUAACAUUGGAAAAGGCAGUUUUACAGACAGACAGAGAGACAGACGUUAUAAAACCAUCUAUGUUCUAUUUCUUCAGUGCUACGUCGAAGUCUCCAACUGAAGUAUCUUAAACUGUUCAUUCUACUGUCCUCCGAUGAUUCCCUCCAUCGGCCCUCAGUCCGUCCAUCAGUCCGUCCGUCAGUCAGUUCAUCAGUCAGUCCAUCAGUCUGUCCGUCAGUCCGUCCAUCAGUCCGGCCCUCAGUCCGUCCAACAGUCCGUCCAUCAGUCCGUCCGUCAAUCACAGAUAUCCUCAUCACGCUGGCAGUGUGUACGUAUCAGUUGUGCUCUCCUCGUGUGUGCUACUCUGAGGUCCUCUGAAACCCCACCCUGGAGGAGGACCUUCAGGUCUGAGGUGAAUCCCCCACCCUGGAGGAGGACCAUCUGGUCUGAGGUGAACCCCUCACCUCAACCCGCUCCAAACUAAAGAGAUGAAACCAGAACGACUCGAGGAGCAGGAUCUCCUUCUGUAGUCACAGUGAGAGGGCAUAGGGGUGAGUGUGCGUGUGUGCGUGUGUGUGUGUGAGUGUGACCCUUUUUUUUGUCCUUGAUGAUCUAUAAGGCUCUAAUGAACAUAAAUAUGAGUCAUUUUAAUAAUUCUUGCAUUUCCUAUCGUUGACGUUUACAAAAGGUCAACUUGAGGAGAGUGAGAAGGUGAUUAACCAACAAGGCCGCGGUGAUCCUACUACUAUGAUCGACAUCAAUAUCCAUAUUUGGAGUUCAGUCCUUUGGAAUGUGACCUCUGACCUCCCACCAUGACCCCUAACCCUCCCGCCGUGACCCCUGACCUCAUGUGACCUCUGACCUCCCACCUGGGAUGUCUUCAUGGCUCACAGCGCGUCAGUUUCCGGCUCAUCCACCUCCUCG